CUUGAUGAAGGGCUACUUCCGCUUAAAGAUCUCAACUCUUUGCUUCAUAUUGAAAGUGAGCUGAGGGACUGCCCAGACUUAAAAAAGCAUGAUCACUACUUUAGGACUCCAGGGUGGUUUUGAUGUGAAAGACACAGUUUGGAAAGUCAUGAGAUGCAUUGGUAAACUCAUUGGCAAAACAACUUAACUGGAGGGUCAUAAAUGGAAAGGCGGAGUUUCAAAACUUGCUUCUAAAAGAAGUAAUCAUAGGUGCUGUAAGACGCAACAGUCCAACAUCAAAAGCCACAGUUCAAGAAAUUGAGAUGUGGAUAAAGAGAUGGCUACACCUUUCUAUGGACUGUGAGGGAGGAAGGCGAGAAAUACAAGAGUGGAAAAGAGCCAGGCUAGGAAACCAACACUCAUCUCAUGUAAAUAUUUAAAGCAGACCACCGCUUUGGACAUUUUAGUUGUUCGGCACAAAACCCUUUGGACGUUGGACAUGUUUUGCUGACCAUUGUAGUUCUUAUUUGGAAAACUAGUUCUUGUUUUUUAUAAUGACAGGAUGCAUGCAAACGUUUGAUCUUAAUGCAAGUGAUUUAUUCAUGCGCAAAUGCUAAAGGGGAAUUUCACCAAUUUC